rnacentral:rRNA from 1 species
CGAACGGGUGAGUAACACGUGAGCAACCUGCCCUUCAGAGGGGGACAACAGUUGGAAACGACUGCUAAUACCGCAUAAGACCACGGUGUGGCAUCACACAGAGGUCAAAGGAGAAAUCCGCUGAAGGAUGGGCUCGCGUCCAAUUAGCUAGAUGGUGAGGUAACGGCCCACCAUGGCGACGAUUGGUAGCCGGACUGAGAGGUUGAUCGGCCACAUUGGGACUGAGACACGGCCCAGACUCCUACGGGAGGCAGCAGUGGGGAAUAUUGCACAAUGGAGGAAACUCUGAUGCAGCGACGCCGCGUGAGGGAAGAAGGUCUUCGGAUUGUAAACCUCUGUUGUCAGGGACAAUAAUGACGGUACCUGACGAGGAAGCCACGGCUAACUACGUGCCAGCAGCCGCGGUAAAACGUAGGUGGCAAGCGUUGUCCGGAAUUACUGGGUGUAAAGGGAGCGCAGGCGGGAGAGCAAGUUGGAAGUGAAAUCUGUGGG